rnacentral:rRNA from 1 species
UACGUAGGCAGCGAGCGUUGUUCGGAAUUACUGGGCGUAAGGAGUGCGUAGGUGGUUGUCUAAGUUUGGUGUGAAAUCUCCCGGCUUAACUGGGAGGGUGCGCCGAAAACUGGUCAGCUAGAGUGUGGGAGAGGGACGUGGAAUUCCUGGUGUAGCGGUGAAAUGCGUAGAUAUCAGGAGGAACACCUGAGGUGUAGACGGCGUCCUGGACCAUUACUGACACUGAGGCACGAAAGCGUGGGUAGCAAACAGG